rnacentral:lncRNA from 1 species
AUUAGGGUUUGGAUUAGGAUUUAGGAUUUGGUUAGGAUUUGAUUUAGGAUUUGGAUUAGAGUUUGAUUUAAGGUUUGGUUUAGGAUUUAGGAUUUGGAUUAGAGUUUAGGGUUGAAUUAGGGUUUGGAUUAGAGUUUGGAUUAGGAUUUAGGGUUUGGUUAGGGUUUGAUUUAGGAUUUGGAUUAGGAUUUGGUUAGGAUUUGAUUUAAGGUUUGGUUUAGGAUUUAGGGUUAGAUUAGGGUUUGGUUUAGGAUUUGAUUUAGGGUUUAGGGUUUGGAAUAGGGUUUAAGAUUUAAUUAGGUUUGGUCUAAAGUUGAGUGAAAUUCAAUAGGGUUUUAACUAGAAUUAAAUUAAGGUUGAAUUGACAUAUAUUUGAGUAAAAGUUGUGAUCAUUCUAAUAUUUCUUUAAGAAUUUUAUUGUUUGUUUGAAAUUUCUUUGAGUUUUUUUGAAUUGGAUUACGUUAGUUUACCAUUAUUAUAGUCUAAUUAGAACAUUGUUAGUAUUCUAUUUAGGAUUUUGUUAUCACAAUUUCUAUUCUUCUUUCUACAGCCAGGUGCCUGGAGCAUUCUCAAGCAAGACUUCACACAUUACGACAACGUACAAAGACUCCAUUUUUACAAUUAACAUUCUAAUUUUUCUAUUUGUCUAAGGAUUUAUAUACUAUUUAUCAUAUAUUAUGUUUUUGAAUACUCUAAAAGUAUCUUUUUGUUCUAAAACAACUAAUGAGUCAAUUUAAUAAUUCAUACAUCUAUUAGGCAAUUUUUUUUAUGAAUUAUAAUAUAAAAUAAAAAAAAUCAUAUUCAACUUACUUGAUACUCAAACAUUGAGUCAAGCAAUUGUCUUUCCUAUGAAGUGUGAUAAUUGACUUUUUAAAUUUUGAUCUAAAAGUUGUAUAAGUAGGCCUUAAUAUCUUUAUAAUUCAAUGGCAACAUCAUCACCUUCUAAAUACAUACAUUUGAAAGUGAAAGAUAUACAAAUUAACAUGGUACAAUUUAAAUUUUUUGUUAAGCUAAAAAAAACUUAUUAUUAAAAAAAAUUGUACUUUUAUUGUAAAAAAUCUAAACAUAGUGCUCAAUAUUAACAAAAGAAGCGACAUAACCAAAAAAUGAGAAGUAUGAAUGUUAAAGAGAAUAAUAUAUCAAAAAAAAAGUUUUUCCAGCUACAAUAGAGAUUGUGGAAUUAGAGCCUUGUGUAAUACUUAGUAAAGACCCUAUUCUCUCUUUAAAAUCUUCUCUAUAUUUUAUAAUAGAUGUUAAUUUAAUAACUAAAUAUCACAAAGCUUCUACCUUACUUGAUUCAAGAGCUUCAACUUAUUUCUUAAAGGAAGAGUUUGUUAAAAAACAUAGUAUAUCUUUAAUAAAGAAAACUAAACAUGUUCAUAUAAAAGUCAUGGAUGGUUGUCUAUUAUCUUUUAAAGAUGUUAUUCAUGAAAUCCUUCUUAUAGAAGUAGAAAUUAAUGGUCAUAAUAGCUUUGUAAUAUUUAAUAUUAUUAAAUAUAUCCCUAAUUUAGUCAUUUUAAAUUUAUCAUGGCUACAAAAAUAUAACUCUCAAAUAGACUAGAUUAAUUGUAGUCUUAAUUUUUUUUCAAAAUAAAACUAAUAGUUAUCUCAAUUAAAUAAAAAGUUAAAAUUUUAGUACAACCAAAUCUUUAUUUGUAGAUGCAAGAGCUUUUUGUAUAUUAUAAAAGAAUGAUUGCCUUGUAUUAUUUAUACCACAUAUAUUUUUAAUGGAAAAAAGACUUCAAGUAGCAUUUUAAGCCAAUAUCAACAUUAUGAAGAUGUCUUUGAAAAAAAAAUGUGAAUAUUAUUUUGAAAUAUCAUUCUUAUAAUUGUUUAAUUGAUCUUUAAGAAAGAACUCAAUUGCCAUUUGGACCAAUCUACAAUUCAUUGUAAAAUGAGUUGGUUGAAUUCAAAAAGUAUAUUGAAGAAAAGCUAAAAAUUUUAUAUGCCAUUCAAAAUCUCUAAUAGGAGCUCCAAUCUUAUUUGUAAAAAAAAAAUAGAUCAUUGUUGAUAUAUGUGGAUUAUCAAAGGUUCAAUAAAAUUAUCAUAAAAAUAGAUAUCUUCUAUCCUUGAUACCUGGACUUUUUGACCAAUUAAAUGAAGCUAAGAUCUAUAUUAAAAUAGAUCUAAAAAAGUAUACAAUCUAAUAUGUAUCAAAAAAUGAGAUGAAUUGAAGAUUGUAUUUUGAAUUAAGUAUAGAUAUUUUUAAUGCAAUAUCAUGCCUUAUGGAUUUUUAAAUGCACUAGUAGCUUUUCAACAUCUAAUAAAUAAUAUCUUUUGAGAGUUUUUGGAUAAUUUUUUUGUCUUUUAUUUAAAUAAAUUUUUAGUUUAUUCUAAAACAUAAAUAAAUAUAAAUUUUAUAUUCAUCAUAUAUUACAAAAAUUUAAAGAUGUAAGACUAUAGACCAAGAUAGAAAAGUAUAAAUUUCAUACUACUAAAGUUGAUUUUUUAGGAUAUAUCAUUUGAAAUGAUGGAAUUAUAAUGGAUCCUACAAAAAUCCAAACUAUUAUAGUUUAGAAGGUCUUAAAAACAAUAAGAGAUGUCUAAUAUUUUUUGGAAUUUACUAAUUAUUAUCAAAUCUUUAAUUAAAAAAAAAAUCAAGUUGUAGCUUUAUUUAAAAAUUUAACUUGUAAAGAUAAACUUAAGUGACCUGAAGAAACAAAAACAACAUUUGAAGCUUUGAAGACAACUUUUGUUUUUGCACAAAUCUUAUAUAGCAUCAACUUUUUUAAUACAUUUUUUACAGAAAUACACACAUCAAAUUUUAUUUUGGAUGUCAUAUUGUCACAAUUGGAGUAGAUAACAAAUUUCAUCUAAUAGCUUUUUAUUGAAGAAUUUAUUUUUUAGAAGUCAAGAUUAAUAAUAAGAUCUAUAAUAAAAAAACUUCUUGUAAUUAUGGAUUUAUUUCAAAAAUAGCAUCAUUAUCUAGAAGGCAUUCCAAUCUUAUAAUCAUGUAUACAAAUCACAAGAAUCUCAAGUAUUUUAUAUUAAUAUGUAUUUGUAAUUGUUGCUAAACUUAUUGGAGUAUAUCUUUGUUAACAUUUGAAUUCAAGCUUAUUUAUUGACCAAAAAAAUAACAAUUUUUAUCAAAUAUUCUUUCCAAAGAAUUUUAUCUUAUAAUUAAAGAAAAAAAAUGCAACCUUUAAUCAACAAUAGACCUUUCUCUUGAAACUAGAGCAAUUUCAUCCAUAAGCAAUAAAAUCAAUAUUAAUUAUUGAUUCAAUUUUUAUUCAAAAUAUCAUGAUAUUUCUAAGUUUGAAUUUUAAAAUAAUAUAUUCUAUUUUAAGUAUACUUAUAUAUUCUAAAAGAUAAAGUAUAAUUAUAUAUUUAUCAAACUCCUCUUGAAUUUUUAAUAGUAAGAUAUUUUAGAUGUAAAAACACUUCAAAGUUAAUAUCUAAAGAUUUUUGGUGGUUUCAAAUGUGGAAGGCAGUAAAAAAUUUUGUACAAUUAUAUGACAUUUGUUCAAAAUCAAAAACUCCUUGUUAUUAAUCUUACGGACUUCUUUAGCCAUUAUCUAUUCUUGAAUAAUCAUGGUCUUCUGUUUCUAUGAAUUUUAACACAAAUCUUUUAAUCUCAAGUUCUUAUGAUUCUUAUUCAUGAUAGUAGAUCAUUUUACUAAGAUGGGACAUUUUGUAUCAUAUAUAAAAUCUAUCAUAAGUGAAGAAAUAGCUAAGCUUUUCUUUGACAAUAUCUAUUGCUAUCAUAGAUUAUUCAAGGAUAUUAUGUCAAAUAUAGAAAGUCAAUUUGUAUUAAGAUUUCAAAGAAUUCUAAGUAAGAUUCUACAAGUAGAUAUAAAACUAUCUUUAGCUUUCUAACUUCAAAGUAAUUGACAAACAGGCUACAAAAAUCAAGUUUUGAAGUAGUAUUUGAGGUAUAUCAUCAACUACCAAUAAAAUAAUUGGAUAAAUCUUUUGCUAUUAACAAAUUUUAUCUAUAAUAAUAUGAUAUAUUUUUUUCUCAAUAAAUACCUUUCUUUAUUAAUUAUGGUUAUCAUCUUUGACUUAAUAUUUUUGAAUUUUUAAAAGUUGAUAAUAUUAUAGCAAAAAAAUUAAUAAAUCAUUUAAUUGAGUUAUAUACAACAAUUAAUAUACAACUAAAAAACAAUUCAAAAAAAACAAAAGAUCAAUGUAGAUGCCUAUUAAAAAGAAGAACUUCAACUCCAUAUUAGAAAUAAGAUAUGAUUAUUAUGUUGUAAUAUCAAGAAUAUUUGUAUUUGUGAUAAAUUGGAUUAUCAUAGAUUUAAACUAUUUUUUAUAUUUAAAUAAGUUAAUUUAGUUGCUUAUUAAUUAUAUCUAUUUUAACUUAUAAAGAUCUACUUUUUAUUUUAUAUGUCUCUUUUGAACCAUAUAAAAUAAUAAAUAUCUCAAGAAGAAGAUAAAUGUCACCGCUUCAUACAGAAAUAGAUAAUAAUGAAGAAUUCAAAGUGGAAGAAAUCUUAUAUUCAAAGCGAUACCAAAAUAAAUUAGAAUAUCUUAUUUAUUGGCAUAGAUAUGAUAUAAAUGAAGACAUAUAGGAGUCAAUUAAAAAUCUCAUAAAUGAAAUAGAUUAUAUCAAAGCUUUUUAUUUAUUGACAUCUAUUAAAAAUAAGAUAAAAAGUCAAGUAAUUUUUUAUUAUAUAAAAAGAUAUUUAAUAAAUAUUACAUUCCAACUUUUAUUAUUUAUUGUGAUUUUUUUAUACUAAUAGUAUUAAUAAGAUAAAGAAUUAAUAGCAAGCUAAUUCAAUUUAAGAUCGAUUAUUUGCUAACUUAUCAAACAAGAUAAUGUAAUUAUCAUAACUUUUAAGAUAAUAUAAUAAAGAUGAAUACUUUCAAGAAUAAUAUGUUUUUUUUAAAUAGAUAGCAGGAUACAAUACAUUUGGUAUCAUGACCUUAGAAGAGACUUUUAGUAUUUGAUAAUUUUAUUAGAGGUAGAAACGAAUCUUGAUAGUAUUACAAAUGCUUUAUUUAAAGAAAGUUACAAAGGUUCAACAAUGUUCUAAUAACUACAUGGUCUUUCUACCUUAGAAUAGAAUAUUAUUGAUGGUUGAGAGAACCUAUUAACUACCUUUAAAGAAAACAAAGAUCAAAGUAUGUAGCAAAUAUAAUUUGCCACAUCUUGGACUUCUUCAACAUGUGAUCACUGCUCUUUAUGGAACUUAUUUUUUGAAGGGGAGAUAACGUCACAAACAUAUAUAUUUACUCCCAUAAUUAUUUAGACAAUAUCAAUGCAUAGAAGUAAAUAAAAAUAUCUAUUUUUAUUUAUUUUGUAGUAUAAGCUAAUCAUAUGGUAUAUGCAUAAAAAACUUACCUUGUAAGUUAAAGCACAUGUCUUACAAAUUGGACUUAAGUCAAAGAUCUUAUAGAAAAUUUCAAUGUAGCUUUUAGUUAGAUAAAGUAUAUAGAGGCAAGAGUAAAUCAUUCUUCACUCUUAUCAAUUCUUUUCUUGUUUCUAGUCUAAUUUUAAGAAACUCUUGUUUUCUUAUCUUUUGGCAAUAGAAAUUCUAGUUUCUUUUUAGUAUAAAUACUUUGUAUUUUUAUUUUUCCAUCUUAUUUUAAGAAAAGUUUUACUUAUUUAUUUGCUUUUAUUGAAUUUUUAUCUUUGAUAGAUUAUAGAUUUUUAAUGAAUCUAAGAAUUGUAUCUUUAUAUUAAAAUAAAAAUAAAAAUUAUAAUAUUGGAUAAAAGCUUAAUAAUUCUAGAUAUGAUUAUAUUUUAAUAAUCAUGCUCAAUUAAUUUUUUAUAGAAGAUUCUAUGAUUAAUAAUUCUAAAAUAUAAUUUUUAUUUAUUUUUGGUAUAUAUUGACUUAUUUAGUUUACAUAUAUAAAAUUUAUUAUAAUAAAAAUAUAUCAUUAUAAAAAGAAGUAGAGUUUUUUUGAAUUUAGAAAAAAAACUAUAAUAAUUAUAUAAUUUAUAUUCUUUUUUAUAAAUUUUUUCUAAAAUAGUAGAAAUUUUUUGAUUUGAUAUUAAUAAUUUUUAUAUAUAUAUGUGUAUAUAUAUAUAUAUAUAUAUAUAUAUAUAUAUAUAUAUCUCAAUUUAAAGAAAAAAUUUAUUUAAAUUACUUUAAUAAUUUUAAAAAAAAGAAGAUAAACAGAUUUGAGACUUUAAUUUUAUGUUAGCUAAUACUUUUUAAUUUUAAAAGACAUGAUUUUUUAUAAAAUAAUAAAAUAAUAUUUUUUUUGAUUUUUAUAAAUUUUAAAUAAAUUUACUUUUAGAAUAUAUAAGAACUAAAAUAAAAAUUAUAAAGUAUUAAAAAUUAAAGAAUAUUAAAUUAAGACUAACAUAUAAAAUAUAUAUUUUUUUAAAAUUUAAAACUAAGUUAGUUUUUCUUUUAUUUAUAGUAGCUAAUGAGAUCUUGUAGAAGUUAUUUGAAAAUAAUAAGAAUUGGAGGACAAAAUUCUAAACUACUUAAUUCUUUUAUAAUAGCUUUGUAACUUCAAAAAACUUCAAGAAAAGUUUACAUGGUUGUAUGGCAUUUCUAUAUUGAAUAAAUAGAACUUUGAAGUCACAACACAUAGCAUCAACAAGGUUGUACACAAAGAGAGUAUGAAGUAAGCUAUCUCUCACUUCAAACACCCAAUAUUUAUAGGUUGUGGUUGCUGCCUUACAAGAUAACUUCCACUCAUUGACUUUUAUACACAUGAUCCUAGGUCUUAGGAUCCUUUGAUAUGUAACGUCUUUCAAGGAUAUCCUAUGGUCUUUCGAUCCUUUGAUAUCUUACUAACUACAAAGGUAUCUCAUGUUAAAUACUAAUUACUCUUAUCUAGUCUUUGGAUAUUCCUUAGUUCAUACUUUAUCCUCUUAGCUUUGACUCUUGGUCCUUGACUUCAUCCUAUAUCCAUAGGAUGUCCUUUUAUAUAUCAAGAGUCAAUCCUUUGACCAUUAGUAAUUUAUCUAAGAUAAUAUCUUCUAUAAAGUAACUUAUUUUACUUUCACUUUUAUUUCAACACUCCUACUUUACUAUUGGUCAAAAGACUUUCAAUCCUAAUACCUUUAUUAAUAUGUGGUGUCUAUCCUUUACUAAUGUCUUUGUCAACAAAUUAAAAAGCAUGUCUUUUAUUACAUAAUAUUUCAUAUCAAUUACUCCCAUUUCAAUCUUUUUUCUUAUAAAGUCAUGUUGAAUGUCAAUAUACUUGAUUCUUGAAUGAUGCUUUGGAUUCUUUGCAAAUACAAGAUAUCCUUAGUUUUUACAUUUCAUUGGAAUUGCUUCCAUUUGUACAUCUCCAAUGUCUUCUAAAAGUUGUCUUAGCCGUAUUGUCUCUAUUGUACCAUGGUUUGCUGCCAUGUACAUCUAUUGUUGACCUUGCAAUUGUUGGUUGUCUUCUGCAAUUCCAUAAAAUUGUUCCUACUCCAACAAAGAAUACAUAUUCCAUUGUUGACCUUCUAUCAUUUGUAUUUCCAACCCAAUCCACAUCACAAUAAUCAUGUAUAGUAAUGUUAUCAUUUCCAAGUCAUAGUUUGAAGUUCAAAGUACCUUUUAAAUACUUCAUAAUCAUUUUGAUGGUUUCCCAAUGGAUUGGUCCAACUUUUAACAUGUGAAAACUCACAACACUUAUCGCAUAUGUAAGAUCCAUCCUUGAGCCAAUCAUUGCAUACAUUAGUGAGCCCACUAUUGUCUUAUAUAGAACACCUUGCAUUUGUCCUUCAACUUCAGCAAACUCUUCUUCCAUGAGCUUCAUCAACUUCAAAUUAGCCUCCAAAGGUGUUCCAAUAGGCUUACACUCCCUCAUGUUGAAUCGUUUCAAUACCUCUUCAAUGUACUUACUUUGGAUUAUUGUAAUGGUCUUUUUAGCACGAUCUCUCACAAACUCCACUCCUAAACAAUAGUGAAGCUCUUCCAAAUCACUCAUCUCAUAUUCUUUUUCUAACUUUUCCUUCAAACAAUCCAUCAUCUUCAUAGCAUUGAUUGAGUAUAUUAAAUCAUCAAUAUAAAAGAUCACAAUCAAUAUUAACUAAUUUGAUUGCAUCACAUACAAUGAAUGAUUAGCCUCAUUCCUUACAAAUUCUUUGAUCACAAAGCAUGUAUCAAUACAUUGAUACCAUGCCCUUAGAGAUUGCUUGAGCCUAUACAAGGAUUUCUUCAACUUAUAGAGAAGGUCUUAUUUCCCAUCUUCAACAAAUCCUUGAGGUUGAUCCAUAUAGAUGUCUUCUUCUAACUUUCCAUUCAAAAAAAUCGUCUUCACAUCCACUUGAUGCAUCUCCAAGUUCAUUGUUGCCCCAAUUGCGAUAAUGGUUCUAAUAGUGGUGAACUUGGCUAUGGUGUUGUGAUGUAACACGACUAACAGGUGAAAGAGUAUAGAAAUUAUUAUAAUGUAGGAGAUCUUGGUUCAAAGUAUUAGAGCAAAUUAUCUUAAAAAUAUAGUUAAUAGUCAAAAAGGUAGUAAAACUAAAAAGUACUAAUGCUGCCUUUUAGAAAGAUGACUUCUACUUACUUUGUAAGACCAUAAAUAAGACAAAACAAAGUAGAUUGAAAUAAUAAAUGAUAAAGACAUCUUUAGAAGGAAGUUAAGAAUAAAUUCUAGCAAAAUUUACUUAGAAAAAUUAGAUAUUGAUACCCAAAGAGGGCUAGUUAUGAACUAGGAUCUAAAUCAGACCCUGAGAUACAAAACUGAGUCUCGAUAAUGAUUGCAAGGUUCUUUUGUGGAUCAAAGAAUGGGAUUUGAUAGCAAACUAAAUAGGAUUUCUAUAAGCAUUAGUUUUGAACAAUUUAGAUUUGUAAUGACUUUGUAAGAGCUUUACAAAGUCAAAUUUAUUUUCAGAUGACUUGGAUUUUAUAAAAUAAAAUAGGAUUGACAUUUUGGGUGAUUUCAAGAGUUUUGUAAUAGAUCUAUAAGUGAAAUUUUGUGGGUUAAUGGUCAUAGUUGUGCUUAAUAUGUGUUAUGAAUCUUAGCUUGAUCUAAUGGUUGAAUUGAGGAUUAUUGAGGUUUAAAAGGAUCAUAGUCUAAGAAAGUAGAAUUUUAGGUCCAAUGAAGGUUUUUAAGAUUUCUUACAAUCUACUAGUUGAAUUGGAGUUAAAUUUGUAUAUGAGGAUAUGAGACUUGUUUUCCUAUGUGUAUAAAAAUUUUAAAAUCAAUAAAAUGGUGAAAAAAAAGAGAUAUUGGCUCUAAGAGAUUAAUAUUAAGGUUGAAAAAGGAGGCCGGCUAAUAUCCAAGCAUGUUUUUGAGGCUAUCGUCUAUUUGAUAAUUCCGAUUUUUUUAAAUUUUUUUUAUACUUGUUUUCAAUUUAAUUUUUAAAAAGAGUAAAAAAUUUGAGUUAAGAUCAAUAAUUCAUUCAUUAGUAAUUGAGGUUUAAAUCUAUUGUAGGAAUUACUAGAAUUUAGCUAGGAUUUGAUUAAGAGUUAGAAUUUGGUUAAGAUUUGAUUUAGGAUUUAGGAUUUGGUUUAAGGUUGGUUAAGAUUUGAUUUAGGAUUAGAAUUUGGUCAUGAUUUGAUUUAGGAUUAAGAAUUUGAUUUAGGAUUGGUUAGGAUUUUAUUUAAGAUUUAAGUUUUGAUUUAGAAUUGGUUAGGGUUUGAUUUAGGAUUUAGGAUUUAGUUAAGGGUUUAGGAUUUGGUUAGGAUUUGGUUAGGAUUUGAUUUAGGAUUAAGAUUUGAUUAGGAUUUGGUUUAGGAUUACAGAUUUGGUUUAAGAUUGGUUAAUAUUUGAUCUAAGGUUUGAUUAGGAUUUGAUCAAGAUUUCAUUUAGGAUUUAGGAUUUUAUUUGAGUUUGUUUAGGAUUUAAGAUUUAUUUAGUUUUUGGCCUAAAGCUUGAAUGAAGUCCAAUAGGAUUUCAACAGGGAUUAAAUUAAGAUUGAAUUGAGAUAUAUUUGAGAUAUGUUUGUAAUCAUUCUAAUAUUUCUUUAAGAUUUCUUAUUGUUUCUUUGUAAUUCCUUUGAGGUUUCUCUGAAUUUGAUUAAAUUUUAUUUAGCAUUGUUAGUGUUCUAUUAGAAUUAAGAUUUUACUAUAGCAAUUUCCAUUCUAUCUUCUACAGCCGGAUGCUUAGAUCAUUUUUAAGCAAGAUUUCAUGUAUUAUGACAACGGAAGCAAAUAUCUCAUUAAAAUCAAUUCUAGCAACUUGUGAAUAUUCUUUGGCAAUCAACCUAGCCUUAUAUCUCACAACAUUAUCCAUUGCAUCCCUUUUGGUUCUAAACACCCACUUACAACCAAUUGAAGAUUGAUUUGGUGGAAGUUGAGUCAAUUCCUAUGUUCUAUUAUCGAUGAAAAAUUUGAACUCUUCUUCC